rnacentral:lncRNA from 1 species
GGGUGGGGGAGAACAAUAGGAGGAAGAGAAGGUAGAAGAAGAGAGAGAAGCCACCAUGGGGCAGGCGAGUCAUGAAAAUGCCAUCCUGAGGGCUGGCCAAUUGGAGAUGAAACAUAGCCUUUAAUUUGUAGGUCUGCUGCAGAACCAGUGUGUUCCAAGGACCCCCGAUUCAGACGGCCACACAAAGGACUGCUACGUUGGCUAUUUGGUGAGGAAAUGAAAACAGUUAACUC